CCCUCCCUCUCCUUACCGCCAGCGACCCCACGCCACGCAGAGAUGAGGAGACGCAAGGCGUCCUCUGCAGCUACUUCCGUGGGUGCGAGGCUAGGCUGGGGGGCGGGGCUGACCUUGAGAGCGCGAGGGCGCAGGCGCGCAGCAUACUGGCACAGCACCUGGGGAACCUGACUCUGACCAACAAGGAGGAAUUGCUUGACUAAUUGAAAGUGACAGAAACCUUGGGAGAAAGCAAUAGCAUACAAAGAAUAAUUAAAAAAAGAGCCUUCAUCCAGUAGCUGAUGGAAGCAGAAGCAGACACCCACAGCUAAACACUG